rnacentral:rRNA from 1 species
GCCAAAAAUCUAGCCCUAUAUCAACUUAUGAAAUUCCUCGACCUCACAGCACCCAUUAAAACAUUUUUAUAUUUUAGUAAAGGGGAUUGAAAAUCUACUUAGGAGCUAUAAUUUAGUACCGCAAGGGAAAGAUGAAAUAAAAGUGAAACAAAUCUUAAGCAUAAAAAAGUAGAGAUUCACCCUCGUACCUUUUGCAUCAUGGUUUGACUAGUCUAACCAAGCGAAAAGACCUAAAGUUUGACCUCCCGAAACUAAGUGAGCUACUUCAAGGCAGCUUUCUGAGCCAACCCGUCUCUGUAGCAAAAGAGUGGGGAGACCUUUGAGUAGGGGUGAUAGACCUAACGAACUUAGUGAUAGCUGGUUGCUUGAAAAAAGGAUUUAAGUCCAGCCUAAAAUUUCCUUAAUAAACUUAAAUAAUUAAAAAAUUUUAGAGUAAUUCAAGCAAGGUACAGCCUGCUUGAAACAGGGUACAACCUAAAUAUGAGGGUUAUACAUUUUAUAGUGACCAAGUAGGCUUAAGAGCAGCCAUCUUUUAAAAAGCGUCAUAGCUUUAUCACAGUAUCCAUUUAAUUCUAAUUAAUUUAAUGAACCCCACCUUUGUAUCAAGCAUUUCUAUAUUAUUAUAGAAACUUUUAUGUUAAAACUAGUAAUAAGAAGAAGAACUUCUCCCUAAUGCAAGCAUAAAUCAGAAAGGACCCCCCACUGAUACUUAACACCUAUGAAACUAUAGUAGUAACCCUGCUAGAAAAUUCUACUUCACCUUAUGUUAAUCUAACACAAGAGCAUUAUAGGAAAGAUUAAAAGAAAAAGAAGGAACUCGGCAAACUUUAACCCCGCCUGUUUACCAAAAACAUCGCCUCUUGAUUAAUUAUAAGAGGUCCAGCCUGCCCAGUGACUUUGUUCAACGGCCGCGGUAUCCUAACCGUGCGAAGGUAGCGUAAUCACUUGUUCUUUAAAUGAGGACUAGUAUGAAUGGCACCACGAAGGUUAUACUGUCUCCUUUUUCUAAUCAAUGAAACUAAUCUCCCCGUGAAGAAACGGGGAUAAACCUAUAAGACGAGAAGACCCUAUGGAGCUUUAAACACAAGUUACAAAUGCCUACUUCACAUUUUCUCCCAGGAUACUCAUUUUUACUAGGCGUCUUGAUUUCAAGUUUUAGGUUGGGGUGACCACGGAGUAAAAAAUAACCUCCGCAAUGAAUAGAAUCCAUUCUUAAACUCAGGGUUACGACCCUAAGUAUCAAAAAAUUGACACCUAUUGACCCAAUAUUUUGAUCAAUGAACCAAGUUACCCUAGGGAUAACAGCGCAAUCCACUUCAAGAGCCCCUAUCGACAAGUGGGUUUACGACCUCGAUGUUGGAUCAGGGUAUCCUAGUGGUGCAGCCGCUACUAAAGGUUCGUUUGUUCAACGAUUAAAACCCUACGUGAUCUGAGUUCAGACCGGAGUAAUCCAGGUCAGUUUCUAUCUAUAAAGAGAUUUUUCUAGUACGAAAGGACCGAAAAAUCAUGGCCCAUACUUUAUGCAAGCCAUAGCGCUAAAUUUAUGACUUAACCUCAAUAAAAUGGCGUCUCUUUCAUAACUCAAGAAAAGAGCA